rnacentral:rRNA from 1 species
CACUCUAGAGAGACUGCCAGGGAUAACCUGGAGGAAGGUGGGGAUGACGUCAAAUCAUCAUGCCCCUUAUGCUUAGGGCUACACACGUGCUACAAUGGGUAGUACAGAGGGUUGCCAAGCCGUAAGGCGGAGCUAAUCCCUUAAAGCUACUCUCAGUUCGGAUUGUAGGCUGAAACUCGCCUACAUGAAGCUGGAGUUACUAGUAAUCGCAGAUCAGAAUGCUGCGGUGAAUGCGUUCCCGGGUCUUGUACACACCGCCCGUCACACCACGGGAGUUGGAGACGCCCGAAGCCGAGUAUCUAACCUUUUGGAAGAAGUCGUCGAAGGUGGAAUUAAUAACUGGGGUGAAGUCGUAACAAGGUAGCCGUAUCGGAAGGUGCGGCUGGUUCACCUCCUUUCUAAGGAA